rnacentral:rRNA from 1 species
GACGAACGCUGGCGGCGUGCUUAACACAUGCAAGUCGAACGGAAAGGCCCUGCUUUUGUGGGGUGCUCGAGUGGCGAACGGGUGAGUAACACGUGAGUAACCUGCCCUUGACUUUGGGAUAACUUCAGGAAACUGGGGCUAAUACCGGAUAGGAGCUCCUGCUGCAUGGUGGGGGUUGGAAAGUUUCGGCGGUUGGGGAUGGACUCGCGGCUUAUCAGCUUGUUGGUGGGGUAGUGGCUUACCAAGGCUUUGACGGGUAGCCGGCCUGAGAGGGUGACCGGCCACAUUGGGACUGAGAUACGGCCCAGACUCCUACGGGAGGCAGCAGUGGGGAAUCUUGCACAAUGGGCGGAAGCCUGAUGCAGCAACGCCGCGUGCGUGAUGACGGCCUUCGGGUUGUAAACCGCUUUCGCCUGUGACGAAGCGUGAGUGACGGUAAUGGGUAAAGAAGCACCGGCUAACUACGUG